UGGGGAAUUUUGGACAAUGGACGCAAGUCUGAUCCAGCCACGCCGCGUGAGUGAAGAAGGCCUUCGGGUUGUAAAGCUCUUUCGGCCGGGAAGAAAUCGCAUGGGUUAAUACCCUGUGUGGAUGACGGUACCGGAAUAAGAAGCACCGGCUAACUACGUGCCUGCAGCCGCGGUAAUACGUAGGGUGCGAGCGUUAAUCGGAAUUACUGGGCGUAAAGCGUGCGCAGGCGGUUUAGUAAGACAGGCGUGAAAUCCCCGGGCUCAACCUGGGAACUGCGCUUGUGACUGCUAAGCUAGAGUACGGCAGAGGGGGGUGGAAUUCCACGUGUAGCAGUGAAAUGCGUAGAGAUGUGGAGGAACACCGAUGGCGAAGGCAGCCCCCUGGGCCGAUACUGACGCUCAUGCACGAAAGCGUGGGUAGCAAACA
rnacentral:rRNA from 1 species